GACGAACGCUGGCGGCGUGCUUAACACAUGCAAGUCGAACGGAAAGGCCCUGCUUUUGUGGGGUGCUCGAGUGGCGAACGGGUGAGUAACACGUGAGUAACCUGCCCUUGACUUUGGGAUAACUUCAGGAAACUGGGGCUAAUACCGGAUAGGAGCUCCUGCUGCAUGGUGGGGGUUGGAAAGUUUCGGCGGUUGGGGAUGGACUCGCGGCUUAUCAGCUUGUUGGUGGGGUAGUGGCUUACCAAGGCUUUGACGGGUAGCCGGCCUGAGAGGGUGACCGGCCACAUUGGGACGGAGAUACGGCCCAGACUCCUACGGGAGGCAGCAGUGGGGAAUAUUGCACAAUGGGCGGAAGCCUGAGGCAGCAACGCCGCGUGCGGGAUGACGGCCUUCGGGUUGUAAACCGCUUUCGCCUGUGACGAAGCGUGAGUGACGGUAAUGGGUAAAGAAGCACCGGCUAACUACGUG
rnacentral:rRNA from 1 species